UGUCAGUACCGCCGGACAAUGGAUGAUUUUUUAAUCUCAAUUUCUCAAUAACAUAUUAUCGCGAUUAAUAGACUGAAAUACUAGAGACUGAAGGUUUCAGAGGACCUAUACGAAAGUCACCGCCCAGUGCAACUGUCUUGAAAUCAGUAUACGACCGUUACAAAGAUUUCGCAUUUUGAGAAAAAAAGCCAGUGCCUUAAUUAUUUAAUUAGUACUCAUAAAAAGGUGUAAGAGAAGUGACCAUCCGCGUGAAACGUGCACUGAGUUAUGACGUCCCAUGCAGAUCACAGCGAGGUCAUGACGACUGCAAAUCCUUCACAAAACGAAAUGAGACUCGUAAUUAGUAAUAUGAAUGAGUAAAACUAGCCUAACACUGGUCUGUUAGAUUGGGGAAAUAGGUCUUUGAGGAGCAGCUGGUCUUUAGAAGCAUAACCAAUCAGAAACAAGAAUGCUAUUAAUAUAUACAGGAACGGAGAAUAGAUUUAUUAAGGGGGGUAGGGGUACGAAAAAAUCGAAUGUGAUAUAACAGUUUGUUUUUCCUUUGGCAAACGAAAUAAAAUCUCAAGUAGAACGCUUCACUCACAGACAA